AUUGCACGCUGGCGGCAGGCUUAACACAUGCAAGUCGAGCGGGGGAAGGUAGCUUGCUACUGGACCUAGCGGCGGACGGGUGAGUAAUGCUUAGGAAUCUGCCUAUUAGUGGGGGACAACAUCUCGAAAGGGAUGCUAAUACCGCAUACGUCCUACGGGAGAAAGCAGGGGAUCUUCGGACCUUGCGCUAAUAGAUGAGCCUAAGUGGGAUUAGCUAGUUGGUGGGGUAAAGGCCUACCAAGGCGACGAUCUGUAGCGGGUCUGAGAGGAUGAUCCCGCACAGGGGGAGUGGGACACGGCCCAGAAUCCUACGGGAGGCAGCAGUGGGGAAUAUUGGACAAGGGGGGGAACCCUGAUCCAGCCAUGCCGCGUGUGUGAAGAAGGCCUUAUGGUUGUAAAGCACUUUAAGCGAGGAGGAGGCUACUUUAGUUAAUACCUAGAGAUAGUGGACGUUACUCGCAGAAUAAGCACCGGCUAACUCUGUGCCAGCCGCCGCAGUAA
rnacentral:rRNA from 1 species